rnacentral:piRNA from 1 species
UGGAAGCAACACAAACCUGGUAGAGGGUC